rnacentral:rRNA from 1 species
GUGGGGAAUUGUUCGCAAUGGGCGCAAGCCUGACGACGCAACGCCGCGUGGAGGAUGAAGAUCUUCGGGUCGUAAACUCCUGUCGAGCGGGACGAAUGUUCCGCGGGUGAAUAUCCCGCAGACGUGACGGUACCGCUAAAGGAAGCCCCGGCUAACUCCGUGCCAGCAGCCGCGGUAAUACGGGGGGGGCAAGCGUUGUUCGGAAUUACUGGGCGUAAAGGGCUCGUAGGUGGCCAACUAAGUCAGACGUGAAAUCCCCAGGCUCAACCUGGGAACUGCGUCUGAUACUGGAUGGCUUGAAUUCGGGAGAGGGAUGCAGAAUUCCAGGUGUAGCGGUGAAAUGCGUAGAUAUCUGGAGGAAUACCGGUGGCGAAGGCGGCAUCCUGGACCGAGAUUGACACUGAUGAGCGAAAGCCAGGGGAGCAAACGGGAUUAGAAACCCUUGUAGUCC